GGCGUUGUGGCGGAGUGGUUAUCGCGCAAGACUAGAAAUCUUGUUCCUUCGGGAGCGUCAGUUCGAAUCUGGCCAACGUCGU
rnacentral:tRNA from 1 species